rnacentral:rRNA from 1 species
UACGUAGGAGGCGAGCGUUGUCCGGAAUUACUGGGUGUAAAGCGCGUGUAGGCGGCCUGCCAAGUCUGCUGUGAAAGCGCCUGGCUUAACCGGGCGAGGUCGGUGGAAACUGGCGGGCUGGAGGCCGGUAGAGGGGGGUGGAAUUCCCGGUGUAGUGGUGAAAUGCGUAGAGAUCGGGAGGAACACCAGUGGCGAAGGCGGCCCCCUGGGCCGCGCCUGACGCUGAGACGCGAAAGCGUGGGGAGCAAACAGG